ACGUAGGUGGCGAGCGUUAUCCGGAAUCAUUGGGCGUAAAGAGGGAGCAGGCGGCAGCAGAGGUCUGCGGUGAAAGCCCGAAGCUAAACUUCGGUAAGCCGUGGAAACCAUGCAGCUAGAGUGCAGUAGAGGAUCGUGGAAUUCCAUGUGUAGCGGUGAAAUGCGUAGAUAUAUGGAGGAACACCAGUGGCGAAGGCGACGAUCUGGGCUGUAACUGACGCUCAGUCCCGAAAGCGUGGGGAGCAAAUAGG
rnacentral:rRNA from 1 species